UCGAGAAUCUUCCGCAAUGGACGCAAGUCUGACGGAGCGACGCCGCGUGGUUGAUGAAGCUCUUCGGAGUGUAAAAACCUUUUGCCAGGGAGAAAGUUUAUUGAUAGUACUUGGCGAAUAAGAGGUUGCUAAACUCGUGCCAGCAGCAGCGGUAAUACGAGUGCCUCAAGCGUUAUCCGGAAUCAUUGGGCGUAAAGGUUGUGUAGGUGGUUGUGUUAGUCUCUUGUCAAAUUCUUCGGCUUAACCGGGGGCUCGCAAGGGAAACGGCACGACUAGAGGAUGCGAGGGGUUUGCGGAACUCAUAGUGUAGCGGUGAAAUGCGUUGAUAUUAUGGGGAACACCAAAAGCGAAGGCAGCAAACUGGAGCACUCCUGACACUGAAACAAGAAAGCGUGGGUCGCGAAUGGGAUUAGAUACCCCCGUAGUCC
rnacentral:rRNA from 1 species